CAAAUAAUUUCAAUCUAGUUAAAACAAAGAUAAAUAAAAUGGUAUUAUCAGCCUGUUGACUAUUUUAUUUAU